GGAAAAAAAAAAGUCAACCCCACAACAAAACCAGAAAUAGCCUUCCCCAGAAAUCUCUGUAAGAGCUGUGCUUUCAAAUCCAUUUGCAACUCCUCACUCCAGCUCUGGUGUUCCCUUUUGCCAGGUGGCUAGAUCUGAAACAACGGCUGCAAAACAAUGUUUUAAAAAGUCAUUUGAAAGGGAGCUUGAGAGAUUACAUGCCAGCUGGAAAGCAUGACAGCAAGAAAUAUCUGAACCUGCUUUGCCAGUGAUGAGGAAACCUCCAGAGCCACUUUAGAUUGAGCUCACUGGGGUGGAGGAAGGGGAUUUAAUCUUAGACUUUCCCAGUGCAAUGGCAUGCACUGGUCAGUACAGCCCUGCAUUGAAGCUACCCUGCCUGUGGACAUAUUCCUUGAAUGUAUGAAAAGAUGAGGUGGGUCAGAUUUACAAAACAAACAAACAAACAAAAAACAACAACAAAAAAUCUAACCCAGUCUCUGACUGCGGCCAUAAGUAAAUGCCUAAGGCAGAUGAAGAACAGUGCAAGGAUAUACAGCACUUUUCCCAAGUGAUCUCCAUGAUGGCAGCUCUUUUAAGCCUGGAGAUUCUGUUAUCCACAUGUGAUUUCUACUUCUUUAUAUUCGUCAGUGUAUUUUGUGAAUGGAUCCAAUCUAUUACUGAACACAUAAACUAUUAACAUCUGUUAAAGAUUUUAGCAACAAGUUCUAGAAGACUUCUACACCCCAUGGGGCCCCAAAUCCCUUUAUUCUCUUUGUUUUGAACUUGAUAUGCUUCAUGUAGCUUCAUAUGGCAUACCUUAAUUUUGGUACUGGUGAAGAAAUGGACAGUCAGUUCCCAGUGUCUCCAUGCUCCUCCUGUUUCCAUGAUGUUUCUUCAUCUGAAGGAUUUUCUACUCAUCUGCUAAGCAUUAUGGCUUCUCUCUUAACAUUUUCCAGUUUGAUAUAUCUUUGAAAAUACAAGGUAGGAAGGGCUAUUAUACUGCACAAUGCACGCUCCUAGGUCUGUAGCAUCAUUUCUACUUUUCCCAGGGCCUUUUCAGCCUAGUUGUCUUCCCUCUUCUGCAGUCCAUGUUCUCUUUAACAGCAUAGCAGCUCACACCAUAUGUGCUGUAGAGCUUGUGCUGACUUUGUUGUGAGAUGAAAGGGACUACUAGCUGUUAGCCAGCCUGGUAAAUUCCUCUGGUGUCCCCUGAAUAGGUUUGGAGUUAAUUUCUGUUGUCACUGUCAAGUCACGACAAAGUGAAGGUAUGUUGGGCUAAAAAUCUGAGCCAAUGUGGCACCUCCUUUACAUGUAGUUUGAGGUACUUGUUUUGUUGGUCUGUCCAUGUCCAGUCCCAACUUGAAGAGACAUCACCACAAACAGAAAUUACCUGUGGGGGAAAAAGCUCAUAUGCAUUACAGUUUGCACAGGCUUUAUCAUUUCACUUGUGCCUGAGCCCUGUGUGCCAGUUUGUGGCAUAUUACUGCUACAGUUGUGUGGUUGUCAACAUUAAAGCUUGAGUCUGGCCCAUAGCAGCAGGUAAAUUUGCAAGUACAAUUUUUCAACUUUUUUUUGUCAACUUAUAACUUGUCCUUUUUUUUCCCUCCCCAAUAUAACUAAGCUGACUUGUCACGUUAGGCUGCUUUUGUUUCAUUUCUAAGCUGAAAAAGUAAUCUUGCCAAUGUAUGGUUACUACUUCCCAGCUGGCAUGUAAUGCAGAUAUUUGGAAUCAACUCAGAUCUUGGAUUUUUGUCUUGCUUCAGUAGAAAGGUAAAUACCAAAAAAUAAAAAAUAAAAUAAAAUCUAGGGAAUUAUUUAAAAUCAAGCAAUGGCUUAGGAAAAAAUAUUUGUAAAACUUUAUCUUGCCUUCUUAAAAUUUACUGGGCAUGAUUUCCAUAAGCUACUUCUUACUAACCGGAGAGGAUGUAAAGACAUGAAACUUUAAAAUAUGGACAAAUUUUAUGUUGUCAAACACUCUCAACAUUCUCUCUCUUUUCAUUGUAUCAUAUUAAAUGGAAAGCAAUUGUUUUGAUCUCUGAUUGAAAAAAAAAUCAUCACAGUGUGCAUCUUGUUUUUGUGAUAGUACUUAAUGCCUAGCAGGGAAUCAUGUUGAGGGUUUUCAAAUGUCUCUCAGCCAGACACUAAACAAAAAAAGUUAGAAGUCAGGCAAGAAUGGUCUCAAUGAGCUGAAGGUGAGGAAAAGUUUCUAGGGAGGAGGUUGAUAAGACUAUAGAAGAAUAUUGAAUUUUAUGUUGUGGGUCAUUUAAAAUUUGACAGUACAAUAUAUCCAUUGGAACACAAACUUGUGUUGGACUUGAGGGGUAGAUUAAAUACUCUGGUUGGCCUUGGAGAUGAGAUUUUUUCAAAAGCAGUUAAUCUACUCUUCCUAUUUAAAUGGUAAUAGUGUAUGGUCAGUAUUCAGUGCACUUUGAAUAUCCCAGAUUUUGUCUAUGGUUUUAAAAACUGGAUCUUCAGUUCUUUACUAAAAGAAAAUACCCUCUGUCUCAAAGACAUUUUUUUCUGAAGUUAAAUGUGUUGAUAUACACCAGGUUGCAAAUAUACAUAUUUUUUGUUUGUUUUGGUUUUGGUUUGGUUUGGUUUUGGCUUUAGUAUCUGGAAACCCUUCACAGAAUCUGAUGUUUUCAUAGAAUCGUCUAGAUUUGAAAAGACUCAUCAGGAUCACCAAAGGAUCACCAGGUCACCAGGUCUAACCAUCAGCCUGACCUAUCAAGUUGCAUCACUAAACCAUGUCACUUAGUGUUACAUCCUCAUAUCUCUUAAAUACCUCCAGGGAUGUGGACUCCACCACUUCCACCAGAAGCCCUUUCCAGUGCUUGACCACCUUCUCUGUGAAUAAAUUCUUCUUAAUACACAAUAUAAACUAUCACUGAUGAAACUUCAGUUAGUUUCCUUGCGUCAUAUCACUUAUCACCAGAGAAAAGAGACUGACAACCUCCUUGCUGCAACCUUCUUUCUUGUAUUUGUAGAGAACAAUGAGGUCUCCCCUCCGUCUCAUCUUCAGCCUCAGUCUAAACAACCCCAAGUCCCUCAGUCACUCCUUGUAUGUCUUGUUUUCUAGUCCCUUCACCAGCUUUGUUACUCUUUGCACAGCAGCAACAUCUUGAAUCACUGCUGAACCUCUUCUAAGGUUCCUGAAGGGGACUCUUGGUGGAUUAACUCUCUAAAUAAGAUUCUCAUAACAAAUCUAUCACUCCUUUGCUGCAUCCCUGCCCUUGUAAAGCGUUGUGGUUUUUGACAGUGGGAAAAAAAUUCUUACUUUAGAAACAUCCCAAUUUGAUCAGCAUUGGCAAGGGGAAACAGAGGCUUACCUAAUUUGAUUUAUUUUUGAAAAACAGAUGGGAACCAUCAGCACCAGUCCAUGCUGGAUCCAGGCAUUGCCACAUACAAUACAGGUUGUCUCUGGAGAGGGGAAGAAGUCUGAAGACUCAAAAGACUAGUGAGAGAGUAAUCAUUGGUUCACAGUUUCCCUUCCAGCAACUUGCUGUAAGCAAGAAUAACAGAAAAAAAAAACAACACAGACACACACACAAAACAAAACAAAACAAAACAAAACAAAAACAAAAACAUACAAGACAGAGAAAGAAACAGAGCCUGAGGAGAGAACAUUCAUAUUGUCAUUUAGAUGAACUAUGCAGCUAUCUCUCUUGACAUACCUAUUCCACAAACAUGUUUCUUCUCAGCCUGGUAUUCAUUUUCUGUCUUUCUUGAUUACAUUAGUGAUUCUUUUUUUUCCCCUCCUACUCUGGCUGGAGUCUCAACUACUUGCUUAUUUUUUGGCUAAAUUAGCCAGGUUGUUUGUAUUGCUGUCCUGCAGGUGACCCAGCAGCUCAAACUAAUAACAUAUAUUUUUUUUGUCAACAUGUUACUCUCCAAGCUUGUUGAAGACAUUUUAUACGUCCAAAUUGCAGUGAUGUAUUUCAGGGAUAAUAACACAGAAGUGGAAUUAAUGCCUUUUGGAGCUUUCCUUUCUUGCAAGAUUGGACUGGCCUAGAUAAAUGGUUUUCUCAGAGCUUAUUUUGGUUUUUCUUUUGUUUCAAAACCAUUGAAUUUAAUAAUGUUUUUCUCCAGACUCUUUAUAGAAUUUUUAUGUUUGUUUCACUCAGUUUGUUCUUAUACAGCAGGAUUUGCAAGUUCUGUUUCUAACUAAAAAUAGAAUAAAUUGAGACAUUCAGAUAUCA